AACCUAAUGUUUUCCCUUCAAGCGCAGCCGACCCUCACCCCCCUCUUCUCCAUUCCCAUUUUCGACCAAACCUCAGUUCCCUUUCAACAAUGGCGGAUCGUGCCACUCCAUUUUCGUGCAAUACGCACAGCUUUCCCUCUUUCCUUUCUCUCUCCUCCCUCUCUCUACUCAUCGUUCCCCUUUUACAGCAAAAGCCCUACUUCCCUUUUAGCUAUGACAGUUGUGUCUAUGCCAUUUCCAUACCAAAAAUGUCGCGACGCCUAAGCCUUCUGUCGUUGACAGGGAAGGCAUUCCCUUUCCUCACUCCAAGACGCAACAACCUUGAAAGAACAGAGAAAAAUUGGUUCGUUUUGGGCACGAAUCUGCAACCAAGUCACGUGAAGAUCUGUUUGGAUCUCAACGGAUCUUUUUCUGUGACUGGUUUUUGAAAACCCCAGUUCAACAGCCCGCCCAAUUUCGAAUCAAGAAAACCCUAUCUUGAUACUAUAAAUACAAAGAUACAAGACCAGUUUAGGGGAGGAAAAAAAAAGACAGAGCAUUUUUUGAGAGAUACCACUAUUUUCAAAUCUUGUUUUCCUUUUCCGGCGAACUUUAGCCGCGACAAAAGGGAUUCGACUCACAACUCUAGUUUCGCAUCCGUUCUCUAGUUCAGAGGGUUCGACGUUUGAGCUUUAGAUCGGUGACCCAAAAGCCUCAGUUUGCUGCACUCAAGAAAGCCCCCAUUCAGCCAUCCGCAGCAAUAUAUGAAGGUUGCUGGACCGAAGCUCAACAGUAAACAGUCCACAGCAGCGGACAACAGCAGCCUUAAAAUGGGCCGAAUCCAUUUAAAUAUAUGUGUUUUUCCGUUACUCUACUUUUGCACAUCUCUCUGCUUGUUGUUUACUUUAUUUGCAUUGGAAUGUUUUUUUUACGUGUGUUCUAUUAGAAGAAACUAGCAAUACCAAGAAGAAACUAGCAAUACCAAGAAGAAUAAGAGAAUUUGUUCC